rnacentral:misc_RNA from 1 species
AAUUUUACGUUGGAAUUGGAUAUUCUGGUAGGAAUGGUCUAAUAUAUGCCCACGGCAUUUGCUUCUCAUACUGUUAAUUAUAAAGAGUUUUAUUUUUUUUUGGGUUUAAUAUCCUGCAUUUGGUAGUCAAUAUUGUUGCUGAUUACAUUUUUACUGCCACUGGCAUAGGGGUGGUCGGGGCCAAUUCUAGGCAUGAAUCAGCAGUUUUGAUUUAAGGUUAUGGGGGACCAGGACUGGUCCUUAACAGUUAUUUUUUAUUUUAUUUUAAUUAGUG